rnacentral:lncRNA from 13 species
CUUCGUCUCAACCACUACACUUUUUACAAUGCAGAAGAUGACUCAAGUCUCCUCUUCAGUCUCGUCUUACGUAGCCAGUGAAGUUGGGUUGGAUGGCUGAUGGUAAUGGCCUGGGAGCAUGCUGAUGGAGCAGAAAUAAUUCAGCCACUGAUGGAGAGAUGGCAAAUGCCCAAGUUUCACUUCUCCCAGUGGUGCGGUAGUCAAGCAGAAAGAGAACAAGAUGAAACCAGAGGUUUGGGUCACACCUGUCCCAUUGCUGCUGAACUGUGGACAAGGUACUUGGUAUCCCUCAACCUCCAGGUUAUUAUCUGAAAAUUAAACCAAAUAAAACUAAUACUUACCUCA